rnacentral:rRNA from 1 species
CAUGUCCUCUUGAUUUUAUUUGAGGUCUGACCUGCCCAAUGAUUUUAUUUAAUGGCCGCGGUAUUUUAACUGUGCUAAGGUAGCAUAAUCAUUUGUCUUUUAAUUGAAGGCUAGUAUGAAUGGUUGGACGAGACAUGAGCUUUCUUUAAUUUAAUUUGUGAAUUUAAUUUUUUAGUUAAAAAGCUAAAAUUUAUUUGUUGGACGAGAAGACCCUAUAGAUCUUUAUAUUUAUUUUUUGAUUGGGUAAUUUGGUUUAUUUUUUAUUUGGAUUAGAGUAAGUAUUUGGUUGGGGUGACUGUAGAAUUUUAAUAACUUCUAUUUUUGUUUUUCAUUUAUUUAUGUUUUUUUGAUCCAUUAUUUAUGAUUAUAAGAUUAAGUUACCUUAGGGAUAACAGCGUAAUUUUUUUGGAGAGUUCAUAUCGAUAAAAGAGUUUGCGACCUCGAUGUUGGAUUAAAAUAAGUAAUAGAUGCAGUAGUUUAUUAACGAGGUCUGUUCGACCUUU